GACGAACGCUGGCGGCGUGCUUAACACAUGCAAGUCGAACGGAAAGGCCCUGCUUUUGUGGGCUGCCCGAGUGGCGAACGGGUGAGUAACACGUGAGUAACCUGCCCUUGACUUUGGGAUAACUUCAGGAAACGGGGGCUAAUACCGGAUAGGAGCUCCUGCUGCAUGGUGGGGGUUGGAAAGUUUCGGCGGUUGGGGAUGGACUCGCGGCUUAUCAGUUUGUGGGUGGGGUAGUGGCUUACCAAGGCUUUGACGGGUAGCCGGCCUGAGAGGGUGACCGGCCACAUUGGGACUGAGAUGCGGCCCAGACGCCUACGGGAGGCAGCAGUGGAAAAUAUUGCACAAUGGGCGGAAGCCUGAUGCAGCAACGCCGCGUGCGGGAUGACGGCCUUCGGGUUAUAAACCGCUUUCGCCUGUGACGAAGCGUGAGUGACGGUAAUGGGUAAAGAAGCACCGGCUAACUACGUG
rnacentral:rRNA from 1 species